rnacentral:rRNA from 1 species
UACGUAGGGUGCGAGCGUUAAUCGGAAUUACUGGGCGUAAAGCGUGCGCAGGCGGUUUUGUAAGCCAGAUGUGAAAUCCCCGGGCUCAACCCGGGAACUGCGUCCGAUACUGGAAGGCUUGAAUCCGGGAGAGGGAUGCGGAAUUCCAGGUGUAGCGGUGAAAUUCGUAGAUAUCGGGAGGAACACCGGUGGCGAAGGCGGCGACCUGGGUCGAGACUGACGCUGAGGCGCGAAAGCGUGGGGAGCAAACAGG